rnacentral:rRNA from 1 species
UACAGAGGUGGCAAGCGUUGUUCGGAAUUACUGGGCGUAAAGGGCGCGUAGGUGGCCUUCUUAGUCAGACGUGAAAUCCCCAGGCUUAACCUGGGAACUGCGUCUGAUACUGGAAGGCUCGAGUUCGGGAGAGGAAUGUGGAAUUCCAGGUGUAGCGGUGAAAUGCGUAGAUAUCUGGAGGAACACCGGUGGCGAAGGCGGCAUCCUGGACCGGCAUUGACGCUGAGGCGCGAAAGCCAGGGGAGCAAACGGG